rnacentral:lncRNA from 1 species
CUGAAUUACAUCGGAAGAUUAAAAAAGAAAAUUACAAUCAUAGGAGGCCAGAUUCCUGAUUUACUUUUUGAAUUAUGGACCAAAUCACUUCAAAAGCCAUUUGUUUCAAAGCCUUUCUCAAACUUGAGUGUGUAAAAGUUCCGUAAGAGCCUCAAUAAAACUCCGGACAGUGCUCACAACAAAAUUGCAUCACCAGAAUAGGGACAAGUGCAAUGUGAAUGUGUCGGCCCUCAUGUGUCCAAGUUCAGAGGGAGCUCAUGGGUUCCAAGGCAAGGCUCACAUGAGGGGGGCUGAAAUUAAGUCUUAGAAGAUAGUGUAAGUGCAAAAACAAAGUUCUAAGAGCUGAGGGAAUAAAGGAGAGGGGUAAAGGGUGGUAGGGAAACAAUUCCAGAGUUGAUAACUUGAUACAAAAGGGAUUUAGGGUUGGGAAUGGCAAAGAGCCUAUGUAUUUAGGCAAGGGUGAACUUUGGUCAUGCACAACAACAGAAGAUGUUGGCAUGCCUGUAAGCCCACCAGAACACACAACACUAGAG